UACGUAGGGGGCAAGCGUUGUCCGGAAUCAUUGGGCGUAAAGAGCGUGUAGGCGGCCCGAUAAGUCCGCUGUGAAAGUCCAGGGCUCAACCCUGGAAUGCCGGUGGAUACUGUCGGGCUCGAGUUCGGAAGAGGUGAGUGGAAUUCCUGGUGUAGCGGUGAAAUGCGUAGAUAUCUGGAGGAACACCGGUGGCGAAGGCGACGUCCUGGACCGGCAUUGACGCUGAGGCGCGAAAGCCAGGGGAGCAAACGGG
rnacentral:rRNA from 1 species